CCUACGGGUGGCAGCAGUGAGGAAUAUUGGUCAAUGGACGAGAGUCUGAACCAGCCACGUCGCGUGAAGGAUGACUGCCCUAUGGGUUGUAAACUUCUUUUAUAUGGGAAUAAAUUGUUCUACGUGUGGGAUUUUGUAUGUACCAUAUGAAUAAGGCUCGGCUAACUCCGUGCCAGCAGCCGCGGUAAUACGGAGGAUCCGAGCGUUAUCCGGACUUAUUGGGUUUAAAGGGUGCGUAGGUGGAUUGUUAAGUUCGUUGUGAAAGUUUGCGGCUCAACCGUAAAAUUGCAGUUGAAACUGGCAGUCUUGAGUACAGUAGAGGUAGGCGGAAUUCGUGGUGUAGCGGUGAAAUGCUUAGAUAUCAAGAAGAACACCGAUUGCGAAGGCAGUUCACUAGACUGCAACUGACGCUGAUGCGCGAAAGUGUGGGUAGCAAACAGGAUUAGAUACCCCUGUAGUC
rnacentral:rRNA from 1 species